rnacentral:rRNA from 1 species
GAUGAACGCUAGCGAUAUGCCUAACACAUGCAAGUCGCGGGGCAGCAUAGAGUAGCAAUACUUUGAUGGCGACCGGCGCACGGGUGAGUAACACGUAUGCAACCUACCUACAUCAGGGGCAUAACCCGGAGAAAUUCGGACUAAUACCGCAUACUACAGGGAUGCCGCAUGGCAAAAUUUGUUAACGCUUUAUCGGCGGUAGAUGGGGAUGCGUUCCAUUAGCUAGUGGGUAAGGUAACGGCUUACCAAGGGAACGAUGGAUAGGGGAACUGGGAGGUGUGUCCCCCAGACUGGAUCUGAGACACGGACCAGACUCCUACGGGAGGCAGCAGUGAGGAAUAUUGGUCAAUGGACGAGAGUCUGAACCAGCCAAAUCGCGUGAAGGAAGACUGCCCUACGGGUUGUAAACUUCUUGUGUACAGGAAUAAAAGACAUUACGUGUAAUGUAUUGCAUGUACUGUACGAAUAAGCAUCGGCUAACUCCGUGCCAGCCGCCGCAGUAA